rnacentral:rRNA from 1 species
UGCCAGCAGCCGCGGUAAUACAUAGGGUGCAAGCGUUGUCCGGAAUUAUUGGGCGUAAAGAGCUCGUAGGUCGUUUGUCGCGUCGAUUGUGAAAAUCUGAGGCUCAACCUCAGACCUGCAGUCGAUACGGGCAAACUAGAGUGUGGUAGGGGAGACUGGAAUUCCUGGUGUAGCGGUGGAAUGCGCAGAUAUCAGGAGGAACACCAAUGGCGAAGGCAGGUCUCUGGGCCAUAACUGACACUGAGGAGCGAAAGUGCGGGGAGCGAACAGGAUUAGAUACCCUGGUAGUCCGCACCGUAAACGGUGGGCACUAGUUGUGGGAACCUUCCACGGUUUCCGCGACGCAGCAAACGCAUUAAGUGCCCCGCCUGGGGAGUACGAUCGCAAGAUUAAAACUCAAAGGAAUUGACGGGGCCCCGCACAAGCAGCGGAGCAUGCGGCUUAAUUCGACGCAACGCGAAGAACCUUACCAAGGCUUGACAUAUAGCGAAAAGUGGCAGAGAUGUCAUGUCCGCAAGGGCGCUAUACAGGUGGUGCAUGGUUGUCGUCAGCUCGUGUCGUGAGAUGUUGGGUUAAGUCCCGCAACGAGCGCAACCCUCGUUCUGUGUUACCAGCAUUUAGUUGGGGACUCACAGGAGACUGCCGGGGUCAACUCGGAGGAAGGUGGGGAUGACGUCAAAUCAUCAUGCCCCUUAUGUCUUGGGCUGCACGCAUGCUACAAUGGCCGGUACAAAGUGCUGCGAGAUCGUAAGAUUGAGCGAAUCACAUAAAGCCGGUCUCAGUUCGGAUUGAGGUCUGCAACUCGACCUCAUGAAGUCGGAGUUGCUAGUAAUCGUAGAUCAGCAACGCUACGGUGAAUACGUUCCCGGGGCUUGUACACACCGCCCGUCACGUCACGAAAGUCGGUAACACCCAAAGUUAGUGGCCCAACCGCAAGGGGGGAGCUACCUAAGGUGGGAUCGGUGAUUGGGACGAAGUCGUAACAAGGUAGCCGUACCGGAAGGUGCGGCUG